rnacentral:rRNA from 1 species
GACUCCCAAACCAUUGUGAACCUUACCCAUCGUUGCUUCGGCGGACACGCCCCGGCGCUCUCGCGACCGGAACCAGGCGCCCGCCGGGGGGAAAACCUAAAACCUUUGAAUUCCUAAGUGUAACUUCUGAGUGGCGAAAGCAUAAAUACAAUCAAAACUUUCAACAACGGAUCUCUUGGCUCUGGCAUCGAUGAAGAACGCAGCGAAAUGCGAUAAGUAAUGUGAAUUGCAGAAUUCAGCGAAUCAUCGAAUCUUUGAACGCACAUUGCGCCCGCCAGCACUCUGGCGGGCAUGCCUGUUCGAGCGUCAUUUCAACCCCUCAAGCCCUGGGCUUGGUGUUGGGGAUCGACCGCCGCCCCCCCGCCCGCCGGGGGGGCAGGUCGGCCCUGAAAUUCAGUGGCGGUCCCGCCGCGGCCCCCUCUGCGCAGUAGCACAACUCGCACUGGAGAGCGGCGCGGGCCACGCCCAAACCCCCACCGUACCUUCACAGGUUGACCUCGAAUCAGGUAGGAAUACCCGCUGAACUUAAGCAUAUCAAUAAGCGGAGGAAAAGAAACCAACAGGGAUUGCCCUAGUAACGGCGAGUGAAGCGGCAACAGCUCAAAUUUGAAAUCUGGCCCCAGGCCCGAGUUGUAAUUUGCAGAGGAUGCUUUUGGCGCGGUGCCUUCCAAGUUCCCUGGAACGGGACGCCACAGAGGGUGAGAGCCCCGUCGGGUCGUGCAACCAAGCCUUUGUAAAGCUCCUUCGACGAGUCGAGUAGUUUGGGAAUGCUGCUCUAAAUGGGAGGUAUAUGUCUUCUAAAGCUAAAUACCGGCCAGAGACCGAUAGCGCACAAGUAGAGUGAUCGAAAGAUGAAAAGCACUUUGAAAAGAGAGUUAAAAAGCACGUGAAAUUGUUGAAAGGGAAGCGUUCAUGACCAGACUUGGGCCCGGUCGAUCAUCCAGCGUUCUCGCUGGUGCACUCGGCCGGCCCAGGCCAGCAUCAGUUCGCGCCGGGGGACAAAGGUUCGGGGAAUGUGGCCCCCCCUCGCGGGGGGUGUUAUAGCCCGGUUCAAAUGCCCUGGCGCGGACUGAGGUCCGCG